GGUGUGCACGCAGGCGUGACCCAGGCGAAGUUGAGUACCCUAAUCCACGGUGGAUCGACGGUCCAUGGGAGGGUGCAUGGAUCGAGCACCCAUUUCCCAUGUGCUUCUCGAAGUCCACAGUGGAUCGGAGGCAUUUUCCUAUGGUUUCUUGUGGUUAAUUUGGUGUGUGAUCGGACAACCCGGGUAGCACGCAGGCGUGCUCAGGUGAUCUGGGAUGC
rnacentral:lncRNA from 1 species